GAUCCUGGCUCAGGAUGAACGCUAGCGGCAGGCUUAACACAUGCAAGUCGAGGGGCAGCAUAAUGGUAGUAAUACUAUUGAUGGCGACCGGCGGACGGGUGCGUAACGCGUAUGCAACCUACCCUUUACAGGGGGAUAACACUGAGAAAUCGGUACUAAUACCCCAUAAUAUUCUGGGAGGCAUCUUUCGGAGUUGAAAGCUUUGGUGGUAAAGGAUGGGCAUGCGUUGUAUUAGCUAGUUGGUAAGG
rnacentral:rRNA from 1 species